rnacentral:tRNA from 1 species
CGGGAUGUAGCUCAGCUGGUUAGAGUGCACCCCUGAUAAGGGUGAGGUCAAAGGUUCGAGUCCUUUCAUCCCGACCA